UACGUAGGUGGCAAGCGUUGUCCGGAUUUACUGGGCGUAAAGAGCGCGCAGGCGGUCGUUCAAGUCGCGUGUGAAAGCCCCCGGCUCAACUGGGGAGGGUCACGCGAUACUGAUCGACUCGAAGGCAGGAGAGGGAAGUGGAAUUCCCGGUGUAGUGGUGAAAUGCGUAGAUAUCGGGAGGAACACCAGUGGCGAAGGCGACUUCCUGGCCUGUUCUUGACGCUGAGGCGCGAAAGCUAAGG
rnacentral:rRNA from 1 species